AGGGAAUCUUCCGCAAUGGACGAAAGUCUGACGGAGCAACGCCGCGUGAGCGAAGAAGGCCUUCGGGUCGUAAAGCUCUGUUGUAAGGGAAGAACAAGCAUCGGUUAACUGCCGGUGCCCUGACGGUACCUUACCAGAAAGCCACGGCUAACUACGUGCCAGCAGCCGCGGUAAUACGUAGGUGGCAAGCGUUGUCCGGAAUUAUUGGGCGUAAAGCGCGCGCAGGCGGUCCUUUAAGUCUGAUGUGAAAGCCCACGGCUCAACUGUGGAGGGUCAUUGGAAACUGGGGGACUUGAGUGCAGAAGAGGAAAGCGGAAUUCCACGUGUAGCGGUGAAAUGCGUAGAGAUGUGGAGGAACACCAGUGGCGAAGGCGGCUUUCUGGUCUGUAACUGACGCUGAGGCGCGAAAGCGUGGGGAGCAAAC
rnacentral:rRNA from 1 species